UGCAGUCGAACGGUGAAGCAGAGCUUGCUCUGUGGAUCAGUGGCGAACGGGUGAGUAACACGUGAGCAACCUACCCCUGACUCUGGGAUAAGCGCUGGAAACGGCGUCUAAUACUGGAUAUGUGACUCGACCGCAUGGUCUGUGUCUGGAAAGAAUUUCGGUUGGGGAUGGGCUCGCGGCCUAUCAGCUUGUUGGUGAGGUAAUGGCUCACCAAGGCGUCGACGGGUAGCCGGCCUGAGAGGGUGACCGGCCACACUGGGACUGAGACACGGCCCAGACUCCUACGGGAGGCAGCAGUGGGGAAUAUUGCACAAUGGGCGCAAGCCUGAUGCAGCAACGCCGCGUGAGGGAUGACGGCCUUCGGGUUGUAAACCUCUUUUAGCAGGGAAGAAGCGAAAGUGACGGUACCUGCAGAAAAAGCGCCGGCUAACUACGUGCCAGCAGCCGCGGUAAUACGUAGGGCGCAAGCGUUAUCCGGAAUUAUUGGGCGUAAAGAGCUCGUAGGCGGUUUGUCGCGUCUGCUGUGAAAUCCGGAGGCUCAACCUCCGGCCUGCAGUGGGUACGGGCAGACUAGAGUGCGGUAGGGGAGAUUGGAAUUCCUGGUGUAGCGGUGGAAUGCGCAGAUAUCAGGAGGAACACCGAUGGCGAAGGCAGAUCUCUGGGCCGUAACUGACGCUGAGGAGCGAAAGGGUGGGGAGCAAACAGGCUUAGAUACCCUGGUAGUCCACCCCGUAAACGUUGGGAACUAGUUGUGGGGUCCAUUCCACGGAUUCCGUGACGCAGCUAACGCAUUAAGUUCCCCGCCUGGGGAGUACGGCCGCAAGGCUAAAACUCAAAGGAAUUGACGGGGGACCCGCACAAGCGGCGGAGCAUGCGGAUUAAUUCGAUGCAACGCGAAGAACCUUACCAAGGCUUGACAUAUACGAAGAACGGGCCAAAAAUGGUCAACUC
rnacentral:rRNA from 1 species